GACGAACGCUGGCGGCGUGCUUAACACAUGCAAGUCGAACGGAAAGGCCCUGCUUUUGUGGGGUGCUCGAGUGGCGAACGGGUGAGUAACACGUGAGUAACCUGCCCUUGACUUUGGGAUAACUUCAGGAAACUGGGGCUAAUACCGGAUAGGAGCUCCUGCUGCAUGGUGGGGGUUGGAAAGUUUCGGCGGUUGGGGAUGGACUCGCGGCUUAUCAGCUUGUUGGUGGGGUAGUGGCUUACCAAGGCUUUGACGGGUAGCCGGCCUGAGAGGGUGACCGGCCACAUGGGGACUGAGAUACGGCCCAGACUCCUACGGGAGGCAGCAGUGGGGAAUAUUGCACAAUGGGCGGAAGCCGGAUGCAGCAACGCCGCGUGCGGGAUGACGGCCUUCGGGUUGUAAACCGCUUUCGCCUGUGACGAAGCGUGAGUGACGGUAAUGGGUAAAGAAACACCGGCUAACUACGG
rnacentral:rRNA from 1 species